GAUGAACGCUGGCGGCGUGCCUAAUACAUGCAAGUCGAGCGAACAGACGAGGAGCUUGCUCCUCUGACGUUAGCGGCGGACGGGUGAGUAACACGUGGAUAACCUACCUAUAAGACUGGGAUAACUUCGGGAAACCGGAGCUAAUACCGGAUAAUAUAUUGAACCGCAUGGUUCAAUAGUGAAAGACGGUUUUGCUGUCACUUAUAGAUGGAUCCGCGCCGCAUUAGCUAGUUGGUAAGGUAACGGCUUACCAAGGCAACGAUGCGUAGCCGACCUGAGAGGGUGAUCGGCCACACUGGAACUGAGACACGGUCCAGACUCCUACGGGAGGCAGCAGUAGGGAAUCUUCCGCAAGGGGCGAAAGCCUGACGGAGCAACGCCGCGUGAGUGAUGAAGGUCUGCGGAUCGUAAAACUCUGUUAUUAGGGAAGAACAAAUGUGUAAGUAACUAUGCACGUCUUGACGGUACCUAAGCAGAAAGCCACGGCUAACUACGU
rnacentral:rRNA from 1 species